rnacentral:rRNA from 1 species
GUGGGGAAUAUUCCGCAAUGGACGAAAGUCUGACGGAGCAACGCCGCGUGAGUGAUGAAGGUUUUCGGACUGUAAAGCUCUGUUGUUUAGGACGAAAGUGCCUGUUGCAAAUAGUUACAGGUAUUGACGGUACUGAACGAGGAAGCCACGGCUAACUACGUGCCAGCAGCCGCGGUAAUACGUAGGUGGCAAGCGUUGUCCGGAAUUAUUGGGCGUAAAGAGCAUGUAGGCGGGAAUCUAAGUCUGUUGUGAAAAUGCGGCGCUCAACCCCGUAUUGCGAUGGAAACUGGGUUUCUUGAGUGCAGGAGAGGAAAGGGGAAUUCCCAGUGUAGCGGUGAAAUGCGUAGAGAUCGGGAGGAACACCAGUGGCGAAGGCGACUUACUGGACUGUAACUGACGCUGAGGCGCGAAAGUGUGGGGAGCAAACAGGAUUAGAUACCCUGGUAGUCC